GUCCUUUUGUUUUUUAUAUAAGGUCUGACCUGCCCAAUGAUUAAUUUUGAAUGGCCGCGGUACUCUAACCGUGCAAAGGUAGCAUAAUCAUUUGUCUUUUAAUUGAAGGCUUGUAUGAAUGGUUGGACGAAAAGUAAACUUUCUUUAUUUUAAAGAAAAGAAUUUAAUUUUUUAGUUAAAAAGCUAAAAUUUUUUUAUGGGACAAGAAGACCCUGUAGAACUUUAUUUUAAUUUAUUUAUAUAUUAUUUUGUUUAAUUUAUAUUAAAUAAAUAUAUUAAAAUUUUGUUGGGGCGACAUGGAAAUUUAUUUAACUUUCUAUAUAUUUAUUCAUUAAUUAGUGUUUUUUUUUGAUCCAAUAAUUUUGAUUAUUAGAUUAAGUUACCUCAGGGAUAACAGCGUAAUUUUAUUAGAGAGCUCUUAUCGAUAAUAAAGUUUGCGA
rnacentral:rRNA from 1 species